rnacentral:rRNA from 1 species
CUUUGCAUUGGACUUUGAACCGAUCUGUGUAGGAUAGGUGGGAGGCAGUGAAGUUAGGACGCCAGUCUUAACGGAGCCAACCUUGAAAUACCACCCUGAUUUGUUUGAGGUUCUAACCUGGGAGCGUAAUCCGCUUCGGGGACCGUGCAUGGUAGGCAGUUUGACUGGGGCGGUCUCCUCCUAAAGGGUAACGGAGGAGUGCGAAGGUACGCUAGGCACGGUCGGAAAUCGUGCUGAUAGUGCAAUGGCAAAAGC